UACGUAGGAGGCAAGCGUUGUCCGGAAUUACUGGGCGUAAAGCGCGUGUAGGUGGUGGGACAAGUCUGCUGUGAAAGCGCCUGGCUUAACCGGGCGAGGUCGGCGGAAACUGUCCGACUAGAGGACGGUAGAGGGGGGUGGAAUUCCCGGUGUAGUGGUGAAAUGCGUAGAGAUCGGGAGGAACACCUGUGGCGAAGGCGGCCCCCUGGGCCGGCCCUGACACUGAGACGCGAAAGCGUGGGUAGCAAACAGG
rnacentral:rRNA from 1 species